CGUAUAAAACUCAAUCACUUGCUUGUAAUGGCUCAUGAUGUCACAGUUGGCAAUGAUUUUCGACUCUUCUUUAAGGUGGUGAUUUGUCUGUGGCUUCUCUCUGCCAUUGGUAGCUAUAUAUCUCUCUGCACUCUUGUUUAUAUCGGUUAGUAACUUGAUCUUUAAAUGCAAAUGAUAGAAAAAGCUUUUUCUG